AUACAGAGGCUGCGAGCGUUAAUCGGAAUUACUGGGCGUAAAGCGCGCGUAGGCGGCUUAUUAAGUCAGAUGUGAAAUCCCCGGGCUCAACCUGGGAACUGCAUCUGAUACUGGUAAGCUAGAGUUUUGGAGAGGGAAGUAGAAUUUCAGGUGUAGCGGUGAAAUGCAUAGAGAUCUGAAGGAAUACCAGUGGCGAAGGCGACUUCCUGGCCAAAAACUGACGCUGAGGUGCGAAAGCGUGGGUAGCAAACGGGAUUAGAAACCCUAGUAGUCC
rnacentral:rRNA from 1 species